GGUAGAGUUGUCUAUAUAUAUGUAUAUAUGUAAACCGCAACAACUCGCAGCUUUUUAUACAUUAUAAACGGAAUAGAGAUAAAUAAUAAAUACUAUUUAGUUUUAUUAAUAUUUUCCGUUAGAUCAAUACAAAUUUGAUAUCUACUCGAGUUUUACGGAGAUACCUAAUAACUCUGACACGACCAUUGAAGUUUAGUAUAGUCAUAAUAUUUCAUUUAUUCAAGUGUAUCGUUUGGCCGUUUCCGUUAAAUACACACACACUGCGCUGCCAUAGAUAACAAUAUUAUUUUGUUCCUACACAUUCAUACUGACGAUCAUUCAUUGUUAUAAUAAUAUAUAUUUACUAUACUAUACAUUAUCGUUUGUGCUCGUAGUCAUUCUUAAUUGUACGUUUUCAUUCCAAUCGAAUUCCGUUGUUUAGAAAUUAAACUGCGUGUAUCGAAUUUUUCCGCGUACGCCGCAUCGUCGCGAUAUUGUUAUAGCACAAUGCAACUUACGAAAGGGCUGCAGAGAAAAAAAAACAACUUUUAUGCUUACAACUCAAAUAUGUUUAAGUAUACAAACAGUGGAAAUUAACAAUACGCCAUGCCACGCUCGCCGUUCGCAACAAACGGGCGACAUAGAAAAAUCACGGAGAACAUAAAUUUCAGCGUUUAGAUUGAAAUUCAAAUUUUUAAUCACGAUCAUUUUUAACAGGAGAAUAUUUUCAAGGACACAGUAUGCGUUUCUGUUUUUUUUUUUCUUUCAGUUAUUGUCACACAACAACAGUCGGUUGUUUUAUAGUUCAGGCUUUCGUUUUCAAAUAGUCGCGAUUGUUUCGUUUGACAACAUUUUAGAAAAACAACAACGUUCUUCUAAAUUAUGAUUUCCACAUAAACGCCAGAAUUUAAUAACGUAAUUUUACUGCUACGUCGGUUGUCAAACUGAGUCGGCGUAGUAAAUACGCGUGUGGCGCGCUCUUAAAAUCAGAUUUACGAGUAAUUAUUAAACCAUUAUAAUAAUCACUGUGUAAAUACACCUAUACAGUGAUUUUUACGUUAUAAAUAAUUGUCUGUAGGCCCGUUGAAAAUAUUAUGCAUGAAAACCUAUGCAUUCCACUCGCACGACCAUCGUAAUAAAGUUUGCGUACAAACUAUCAAACUAAAAUGAAAUAUGAUUAUUGAACGCGUAUAUAUUUCUAUGUUCACGACUUUGGACUGUUU